UCCAAAUGAUAUUCAUAAAAGUUAUAAGCAUAUAUAUAUAUCCAAAAUAUGACUGAAAAGUUAUCAGAUACAUAAGUGUCACAAAAUAUAAGAGUCAAGUCAAAAUACAUAGGCUAUACAACCAAAAAAUACAACUUUUCAUGAGUCAAUCAGCCAACAACUACAAAGGCCAUAAGCUAGAUCCUAGACAUAAAAGACUAACUAUGCU
rnacentral:lncRNA from 1 species